CGUAAACAGAGGGAAGCGAGAUCGAGAGAUGGAGCAAAUCCCAAAAAUAACGUCCCAGUUCGGACUGUAGUCUGCAACCCGACUACACGAAGCUGGAAUCGCUAGUAAUCGCGGAUCAGAAUGCCGCGGUGAAUACGUUCCCGGGUCUUGUACACACCGCCCGUCACACCAUGGGAGUCAGUAACGCCCGAAGUCAGUGACCUAACCGAAAGGGGGGAGCUGCCGAAGGCGGGACGGAUGACUGGGGUGAAGUCGUAACAAGGUACC
rnacentral:rRNA from 1 species